ACGCUCGACACCUACGGGAGCAGCAGUCGGGAAUAUUGCGCAAUGGAGGAAACUCUGACGCAGUGACGCCGCGUGCAGGAAGAAGGUUUUCGGAUUGUAAACUGCUUUAGACAGGGAAAGAAAAAGGACAGUACCUGUAGAAUAAGCUCCGGCUAACUACGUGCCAGUAGCCGCGGUAAUCUGAGGCGGGCGUGGCAAGGC
rnacentral:rRNA from 1 species